AAAGGAAUAGACGGGGGCCCGCACAAGCGGAGGAACAUGUGGUUUAAUUCGAUGAUACGCGAGGAACCUUACCCGGGCUUGAAAUGCAAUCGACGGUAUUGGAAACAUUACUUCCAGCAAUGGCGAUUGUGUAGGUGCUGCAUGGUUGUCGUCAGCUCGUGCCGUGAGGUGUCGGCUUAAGUGCCAUAACGAGCGCAACCCUUAUCAUUAGUUGCCAUCGGGUUAUGCCGGGAACUCUAAUGAGACUGCCACCGUAAGGUGUGAGGAAGGUGGGGAUGACGUCAAAUCAGCACGGCCCUUACGUCCGGGGCGACACACGUGUUACAAUGGGGGGUACAGCGGGCAGCUACCUGGCGACAGGAUGCUAAUCUCUGAAAGCCUCUCUCAGUUCGGAUCGGAGUCUGCAACUCGACUCCGUGAAGCUGGAUUCGCUAGUAAUCGCGCAUCAGCCAUGGCGCGGUGAAUACGUUCCCGGGCCUUGUACACACCGCCCGU
rnacentral:rRNA from 1 species